rnacentral:rRNA from 1 species
AGAGUUUGAUCAUGGCUCAGGAUGAACGCUGGCGGCGUGCCUAACACAUGCAAGUCGAGCGAUUCUCUUCGGAGAAGAGCGGCGGACGGGUGAGUAACGCGUGGGUAACCUGCCCUGUACACACGGAUAACAUACCGAAAGGUAUGCUAAUACGAGAUAAUAUGCUUUUAUCGCAUGGUAGAAGUAUCAAAGCUUUUGCGGUACAGGAUGGACCCGCGUCUGAUUAGCUAGUUGGUAAGGUAACGGCUUACCAAGGCGACGACCAGUAGCCGACCUGAGAGGGUGAUCGGCCACAUUGGAACUGAGACACGGUCCAAACUCCUACGGGAGGCAGCAGUGGGGAAUAUUGCACAAUGGGCGAAAGCCUGAUGCAGCAACGCCGCGUGAGCGAUGAAGGCCUUCGGGUCGUAAAGCUCUGUCCUCAAGGAAGAUAAUGACGGUACUUGAGGAGGAAGCCCCGGCUAACUACGUGCCAGCAGCCGCGGUAAUACGUAGGGGGCUAGCGUUAUCCGGAAUUACUGGGCGUAAAGGGUGCGUAGGUGGUUUCUUAAGUCAGAGGUGAAAGGCUACGGCUCAACCGUAGUAAGCCUUUGAAACUGGGAAACUUGAGUGCAGGAGAGGAGAGUGGAAUUCCUAGUGUAGCGGUGAAAUGCGUAGAUAUUAGGAGGAACACCAGUUGCGAAGGCGGCUCUCUGGACUGUAACUGACACUGAGGCACGAAAGCGUGGGGAGCAAACAGGAUUAGAUACCCUGGUAGUCCACGCCGUAAACGAUGAGUACUAGCUGUCGGAGGUUACCCCCUUCGGUGGCGCAGCUAACGCAUUAAGUACUCCGCCUGGAAGUACGCUCGCAAGAGUGAAACUCAAAGGAAUUGACGG